CUUCGGCUGACAGAGCGGUAGCAGAAAACAGACAGGUGGGGCUUUAUGGUACUAUAAGGCACUGGACCCUACAAUGUUCAGAGAGUGCUUUGUACACCAAAAUGUCAGCCGGAACGGGUCAAGAACCCCUCAAAGUGCCUCAUAUAUGGAACUUAACAUCUAAGAGGUAAAUGGUUGUAAUAAACUGGGUUUGGAGACGUAGCGGAGUCAGGCGCAGGACACAGGUUUGAGCGAAACAGUCUAGUUUACUCAUAAACACAAGCAAAAUCUCCAACAGGAAACAACAGUGUGAGGAGAACACCUCCAACAACCACUGAUAACGAACAAUCACGGACAAAACAAAAAGUGAACACGACCCUGAUGCUCAACUGUACUUGCCCUGAACUGAAAACACAGUGCACAGCCCAGUGAGGCCGGUGGUGGCUGGCCCGCUCCAGGAGUCUGAGGUGUGGGGAGUUUCUCCGCCCCCUUUGGACAUCGAGGGGGCCCCGGCGUACUCCAUUCGCUCCAUACUGCAUUCGAGGUGUCGGGCGAGGGGCCUUCAGUACCUCGUGGACUAUGAGGGGUUCGGUCCGGAGGAGAGAUGCUGGGUUCCGGUGGAGGACGUGUUGGACCCUUCAUUGCUGCGGGAGUUCCAUCGUCUCCGACCGGAUCGCCUUACACCUCGCCCUCUGGCCUUCUUUAGACUAGUUGAGUAUCAGCAUUUGUGGGUUCGAUUACAGGCUCAAAAUGGACUGAAACAAAGACCUUUCUUCUUAAACUCGUCAGUCUGUUCUUGUUCUGAGAAAUGAAGGCUAUUCCAUGUGAGAAAUUGCCAAGAAACUGAUGAUCUUGUGCAACGCUGUGUACUACUUCCUUCACAGAAUAGCGCAAACUGUCUCUAACCAGAAUAGAAAGAAGAGUGGGAGGCCCCGGUGCACAACUGAGCAAGAGGAUAAGUACAUUAGAGUGUGUAGUUUGAGAAACAGACGCCUCACAAGUUCUCAACUGACAGUUUCCAGCUGUGCUAACAUAAUUGCAAAACGGUUUUCUAAUGAUCAGUUAGCCUUUCAAAAUUAUAAACUUGGAUUAGCUAACACAACGUGCCAUUGGAACACAGGAGUGAUGGUUGCUGAUAAUGGGCCUCUGUACGCCCAUGUAGAUAUU
rnacentral:lncRNA from 1 species